ACACAACUCUCUUCAUAAAUGGUUUUUAACUUUAAAUAAAUCGCACAAGGAUUUAAAAAUCCUUAUCCUACAAAUUAUGAUCAGGUUUCACAUCAAAAUUGAGAGUCUUUAUCAAUUUAAAGUCUUUACCAAGAUAGGAAAAGAAGAAUCCUAUUACUACAAGGCAUGACCGGGAUUAGACUUUUCUUCACUCCAUGGAC
rnacentral:lncRNA from 1 species